rnacentral:rRNA from 1 species
UUCAGACUGCAGGCUGCAACUCGCCUGCACGAAGUCGGAAUUGCUAGUAAUCGUAGGUCAGCAUACUACGGUGAAUACGUUCCCGGGCCUUGUACACACCGCCCGUCAAACCAUGAGAGUUGGCAACACCCGAAGUCGGUAGUCUAACCGCAAGGAGGACGCCGCCGAAGGUGGGGUUGAUGAUUAGGGUUAAGUCGUAACAAGGUAUC